GGCGGGCUGCGCGGUUCGACAGGGAUAACAUAUUCCCCGGGGCCUUACGCAUCCCUAAGGGAGCUGUUCCUGCCUCGGCCCGUGGGCUGGGGCAUACGGCGCCCACCUACUCUGUAGGUUCCCGGGAUCGAUCUUCUCAUCGGCCGAGGUGGCUCGCCA
rnacentral:other from 1 species